UUCGCCGUCUGCCGCGAGGCGAGCAAGCGCAUCUUGAAAAUGCGCCAUUUCGAUGUUCAGCUCAUCGGCGGCAUGG
rnacentral:tRNA from 1 species